rnacentral:rRNA from 1 species
UACGUAGGGGGCAAGCGUUGUCCGGAAUCAUUGGGCGUAAAGAGCGCGUAGGCGGCCCUGUAAGUCCGCUGUGAAAGUCAAGGGCUCAACCCUUGAAUGCCGGUGGAUACUGCAGGGCUAGAGUCCGGAAGAGGCGAGUGGAAUUCCACGUGUAGCAGUGAAAUGCGUAGAUAUGUGGAGGAACACCGAUGGCGAAGGCAGCCCCCUGGGUCAACACUGACGCUCAUGCACGAAAGCGUGGGGAGCAAACAGG